rnacentral:rRNA from 1 species
GACGGAGGAUGCAAGCGUUAUCCGGAAUGAUUGGGCGUAAAGCGUCCGCAGGUGGCAGUUCAAGUCUGCUGUCAAAGACCGGGGCUUAACUUCGGAAAGGCAGUGGAAACUGAACAGCUAGAGUAUGGUAGGGGCAGAGGGAAUUCCUGGUGUAGCGGUGAAAUGCGUAGAUAUCAGGAGGAACACCAAUAGCGAAGGCAGCUCGCUGGGACGGUACUGACGCUAAGGCGCGAAAGCGUGGGGAGCGAACAGG